GCAUGCCUAUAAUCCCAGCUACUAGGGAGGCUGAGGCAGGAGAAUCGCUUGAACACCCCUUCUCUGGUCUCAUGGAAAAAUGGUUUGGAAAUGGAAGGGACUCAUGACCUCAAUCUUUACCUCCCUUGCAAUUAUUACCAGUGUACUCAUUCUUGUAGGUUGUGUCAUACCUUGCAUUUGUGGAUUUGUGCAAAGGCUUAUAGAAACAGCUCUUACCAAACCCCUCUCCAUUCUCCCCCACCCUACUCAGAUAAACUCCUACUUCUAGAAACCAAGAGGAGCAACAAAGCCAAAAUAUAUUAGAGGAAUUUGAAGAGGAAGAACUAUAAAGUCAGGAGGGGGAAAAUUGCCAGAAACAAUGGCUAACCAGUUGCCUCAGCAUCAUAUAUGGAGCAGCCCACCUUUUCAUCAGUCUGAGAUGCCACUUUUAUCAUAUAAUAAAGGCCUCAUAUAUA